rnacentral:lncRNA from 1 species
AAAAAGUGCCACAAAAUAUGACAUUAAAUUCCUUGUCUUCUAAGAUCCAGGACCAGGCAGCUCCUCUGAAGUCAUUAUUCCAGCUAUGAAUGACCCUAGAAUGUCAUUCUGCCACGAACGUUUGACUGUCAUCCAUGGCCAUCUUGAUCAUGCCUCCCUUCCAUUUCACCCUGCUGUUGUGAGGAACUGAACAACAUGAGCAAGCUGGCUCAGAGAAGGGUUAUGUUUGCUAUCAGGAGAAGGUUCUUCCCCCAGAGGGUGCUGGGGCACUGAAUGGCUCCCCAGGGAAUGGUCAGGCCCCAAGGCUGCCAGAGCUCCAGGAGAGUUUUGACAGCACUCUCAGGCACAGGGUAGGAUUUUUGGGGUGUCUGUGCAGGACCAGGAGCUGGGACAAUUCUUCCAGCAUAUUCUGUGAUUCUAUAACUCUAUGAACGUGGCUACCUUUAUUCCCCAGAACUGCCUCCAGGCUGGAUCAUGGAGAUAAUGUGGUAUCACUGGGCUGUUGUCAGACAUAACUUCACCCCCCAAAUCCCCAGUCCUCUCCUCUGGUGUGGAGAGUCAGUUCUCAGAGCUGUGCAAACGCCCACUUCGGCUGUGCAGUCCUGCCUAAUCACUUCACUUUCUGUGCAGAUGCUGAGGAAAUGCUUAGGUCUUCAGUGGACCACAGUGGAAUUGGGCAAGCUGGAAACUGCACCCACCACCUGGAAAAGUUAUUGAAUGAGCACUACAGGUACAGUGUGCAGCCCUGUAACUCACCAUCCACAUCUGAACCCUGCUGUGAGGAGAGACAAUUGCCACCUUCCUGUGGUUGUCUGUCACACUCACCAUCCCUUUCCCUUGAGUACUUCACAAAUAUUGAUGGAAUUACCUCCAGGAAAAGGCAUCAAUCACCACAGGCAUUUUCUGCCUCAGAGUUGAAAUUACAAAGAUGUCUCCAGAUAUGUGGUGUCCUUUUAGGGUUAAACCUGGCUUGAAUUGGAAAGAGCUACGUGUGGAGAAAAAGCAAUAUAGGAUCAAUAUAUUCAACCCUCUGCACUUUAAAAGAGUAUAGCAACAAGAUUUCACUAUGGGCCAGAGUUUUUCAACUGCCUGGUCAACUUUAGUGCCUUGCUUCCAGCUGUUCAUAAUGUGAUACCUCAGAGGGACUUGGUUUUCUGUGUCCUACAUAUUUACAGCUGAAAUGGAAUUCUUCUGACAAUGGGGCUCCUUUCAAUUAAUUCAAGAUUAAGGUCUGAAAAUAGUACGCAGAAUUGCUAGCUGAAUUGAAAUACCAA